rnacentral:rRNA from 1 species
UACGGGGGGAGCAAGCGUUGUUCGGAUUUACUGGGCGUAAAGGGCGCGUAGGCGGUCAGCACAAGUCAGUUGUGAAAUCUCCGGGCUUAACUCGGAAAGGUCAACUGAUACUGUGCGACUAGAGUGCGGAAGGGGCAACUGGAAUUCCCGGUGUAGCAGUAAAAUGCGUAGAGAUCGGGAGGAACACCAGUGGCGAAGGCGGCUACCUGGACCAGCACUGACACUGAAGCACGAAAGCGUGGGGAGCAAACAGG